rnacentral:rRNA from 1 species
CAGCGCCACAAGUGGCAAUCAUGUUUAUUGGGCCUAAAGCGUCCGUAGCCGGUUUGGUAAAUCUUUUGUGAAAUCGUCAGGCUUAACUUGACGGCUUGCAGAAGACACUGCCAAACUCGGGACCGGGAGGAGUCAGAAGUAUUCAAGGGGGACCGGUAAAAUGGUAUAAUCCCUUGAGGACUACCGAUGGCGAAGGCAUCUGACCAGAACGGAUCCGACGGUGAGGGACGAAAGCCAGGGGAGCAAACCGGAUUAGAUACCCGAGUAGUCC